GACAAGGCUCAGGCUAAUAACGGGAGAAACAAGCAAAGGAAUAACACCGCAGCGAAGGAGCUAGUUUUAGCCUCGUCCUCGCUAGCUGGGAGAAGAAGGAGACUGUGUAUGUGAGGGAGAAUAUUUUGCGCCGGGUUUUCUGAUGUGCCUCAAGCCUACAUGCCUGCCGCCUGCCUGCUGCCACGCAUGCUACUGCUGCUGUAGAGGGUGCUCGGGACUCCGCUGCUGCCAGAGGACCUGAUGUCGCACAUGGAUGUGUCUUCAGGACUGGUUUCUCCAUCUCAUCACCUUUCUUCACUGAACCAACGGUUUGAGGAAACUGCUGCUAACCGUUUCUGAAUUUCCAAGGAUUAGUGAGUAAUGAGAAACACUUUUCAUGAGGAUUCAAAUGAGCUCCAACAUGCGCGCCAACGACAUGGUGCCAUAACUGAGUUUUACAAAAACCCGGGUAUUAUUAUUUUAUUUUAUUAAAAGACUUAAAGGGUCACCAGGCCAUUUUAAAAGGGUGAUUGUUUUGUUUUUCUGUCAAUAAACAUUUUAUGUUGUUGCAAUGUAUAUUCGCAGUCGAAAUGUUUAUUCGUGUUUGAAUGUGGUAUUAGUAGGGCUAUGGUGUGUUAAAGGUAUGCAUGGGAGGUUGUAAGCUCAUAUAGACAGUAUAGCUAUAAAAUCAGCUAACCAGGCCUCUCUGCACCUUAGGCAGAGUUGUAUGCUCUAGUUACAGUAGAUAUAUCCCAAAUUUAAUAUUUUAGUAGAAACCCUCCAAUUCGCCUCCCAUGCUUAAGGUGUUAAAGGGGUUUGCCGUGACAAUUCUGUAGCAAAUGAGAAUUGAGUGGGAGGGCUACAUGACAUUGAUAUUUAUCAAAUGUGUUUUCAUUUACAAAAUUAUUUUAGGUAAAGGGAAUAUUCCUGAACAGUUCAUGGCUUAUUUUACAGGUAAUUCAGAGUUACAUUCAUACUUAACUUGUAAAUAAUCAUAUCUUCAUCUUUUUUUCUUUCUUCUUUUUCUUUUUUCUGACUUUUCAAAAAAUUUUCAAUAAGAUUUAGGGGAACUAAACUAUGGAAUGAUUUUUUUUCCACCUGAUAAAAUCAGUAUCUCUGUGAAGUGUUACAAAAAAUGCCUGGAAAAAAACAUUUAACUGCUGUUUUGUAAUGGGUUUGUGUCAUUGUCCAUGUUUUAAUUUGUUUUACUCAUUGUGAUGCAUUUUUACUACUGCUCAAGGGUCAACACAGUAUAAACUAUUACCCUCUCCUGCACACAAAGACACACACACACACACACACCUAAUUACACUAACAUUGACUUACACAUCAUAGUCACAUUUUCUGCCCUUACUAAUGUUGCCAUGUUUUUGUUGUUAUUAUUAGUAGUAUGUUAUCACUUGUAUUAUUUUAUGUAUUAUUCUUUAUCUUUUUAUACUUUUGAGCUCUCAAUAACUUUGUCAAAAUUUUAUUAGGUGGAGGCUUCAAGUAAGCUCUCUGGGUUUUAUGCAUCUCCUUGCACUGUAUUUAAUUAUUCAGUUUUCAUGCUUUUUUGUGUUUUAAUUGUGCAAAAAACAACAACAACUAUAAACUAUAAACACUGGAUUGUGUUGUUAAAGUGCUAACUGGCAAACUAGCAUUAAGUCUGUCUUCCAGUUUCCCGUUUUGAAUGACAAUUACAGACUAACACCAUCCGCUGGUGGGGCAAGUUAUUUCCUCCCACGCAGGUACAGAACAUACGUGCUGGUUGGCCAUCGUCUGUGGUCUUUGCAGUGUGUUGAAGUGCAACUUUUUGGCUGAGACAUGAUGACAUGAGGUGACACAACAGUCAGCUUCUAUUGCUGCUGGUUCUCUGAAGUUUGUUUGGUGUGUCUGGGCCAUAACAUUGUCUGUAUGUUGCCUGUAAAUGCCAUCAAUUCCACAACACCAAUAACAACCCUGCAGCCACCUAGACACUUAGAGCUGACUCAUUUUGCACCUGUAAUUGACAAAACUGUCCAAGAGAUCAUCACCAGUCUGAGUUCGUCUACAUGCUGCCUCGAUGUGUUACCCACUAGAUUUCUAAAGUCUGUGCUGAGCAGUUUGUUACCACAACUCGCUCACAUAGUUAACAUGUCACUACAAUCUGGAACAUUCCCAAAGGCCUUGAAAACUGCGGUCAUAAAGCCUCUCCUAAAGAAGAGCAGUCUUGAUGCCACAGUACUGAACAACUACCGGCCCAUUUCAAAUCUGCCGUUUUUAGACUAAGUCCCUGAGAAAGUUGUUUACCAACAGCUUACUGACUUUCUCCUAAAGAACAACUCCUUUGAUGUUUUCCAGUCAGGUUUUAGACCCCAUCACAGCACUGAGACCGCUCUUAUUAAGGUGACAAAUGACAUCCGCCUGAACACUGACGCAGGCAAAGUCUCAGUUUUAGUCCUGCUAGAUCUGAGUGCUGCUUUUGACACUGUCGAUCAUGAGAUCCUUUCACAGAGACUAGAGGACUGGGUGGGCAUCUCUGGCACUGCCCUAAAUUCGUUGAAGUCCUAUCUAGAAGACAGGAAGUACUUUGUUGAAAUUGGUAACUGUGUCUCAGACCACAUGGCCUUGACCUGUGGGGUGCCCCAAGGGUCAAUCCUGGGACCCCUUCUGUUCAAUCUCUACAUGCUGCCUUUAGGCCAGUUAAUACAAAGUAAUAAUGUGUCCUACCACAAUUAUGCAGACGACACUCAGAUCUAUGUCUCACUGACAGCAGGUGAAUAUGGACCAGUGGAUUCACUCUGUCACUGCAUCCAACAGGUCAGUAUGUGGAUGCAAAACAACUUUCUCUAGCUAAAUUCAGACAAGACUGAAGUCAUCGUAUUUGGUCCACAGAAACAAAGAGAAAGUGUCAGCAGUCACCUCCAGUCUCUCUAAAACCUACAAAUCAGGUUAGAAAUCUCGGGGUAAUAAUGGACUCAGACUUGAACUUUAACAGCCACAUCAAAUCAAUAAUAUCAGCAGCUUUUUACCAUCUAAAAAAACAUUGCCAAAAUCAAAGGUAUAGUGUCUAAACCUGACUUGGAGAGACUUAUCCAUGCAUUUGUCUCUAGUAGGUUAGACUACUGUAACAGCCUGCUCACUGGCCUCUCCAAACGGGCUGUAAGACAGCUGCAGUACAUCCAGAAUGCUGCUGCUCGGGUCCUGACCAGAACCAGGAAGUACGAGCACAUUAGUCCUGUACUCAGUCUCUACACUGGCUUCCUGUGGCUCAGAGAAUAGACUUUAAAGCAGCUCUGCUUGUGUACAAGUCUCUCCACGGCCUAGCACCAAAGUACAUCUCUGACAUGUUAGUGCCAUAUGAACCAUCUCGGACUCUGAGGACCUCAGGGACCGGCCUCCUGCUGGUGCCCCGAGUCAGGACUAAACAUGGGGAAUUAGGAUUCCAGUUUUAUGCAGCUAAAAUCUGGAACAGUCUUUCUGAAGAUGUGAGACAGGCCUCUACUCUGACAAUGUUCAAAUCUGGGCUCAAAACAG